rnacentral:rRNA from 1 species
AGUGAACGCUGGCGGUAGGCCUAACACAUGCAAGUCGAACGGCAGCACAGUAAGAGCUUGCUCUUACGGGUGGCGAGUGGCGGACGGGUGAGGAAUACAUCGGAAUCUACUUUUUCGUGGGGGAUAACGUAGGGAAACUUACGCUAAUACCGCAUACGACCUACGGGUGAAAGCAGGGGAUCUUCGGACCUUGUGCGAUUGAAUGAGCCGAUGUCGGAUUAGCUAGUUGGCGGGGUAAAGGCCCACCAAGGCGACGAUCCGUAGCUGGUCUGAGAGGAUGAUCAGCCACGCUGGAACUGAGACACGGUCCAGACUCCUACGGGAGGCAGCAGUGGGGAAUAUUGGACAAUGGGCGCAAGCCUGAUCCAGCCAUACCGCGUGGGUGAAGAAGGCCUUCGGGUUGUAAAGCCCUUUUGUUGGGAAAGAAAAGCAGCAGGUUAAUACCCCGCUGUUCUGACGGUACCCAAAGAAUAAGCACCGGCUAACUUCGUG